rnacentral:rRNA from 1 species
UGAUGCGAUCAUACCAGCACUAAUGCACUUGAUCCUAUCAGAACACCACAGUUAANGUGUGCUUGGGUGAGAGUAGUACUAGGAUGGGUGACCUCCAGGAAAGUCUUCGUGUUGCAUCCC